CUUUGGCACAGGCACCCUCACGAUCUUGCUCUCUCUGCGCCAUACAGCUGAGACGCGCGCGCUGGCAUCGUGCUGCUCUUGCUGCGUCCCUCGUCUCUGGUCCCCCACAGAGGCGCGCGUUGUCCUAACCCCGCGCAUCACGGGAGGCAUACCCCGCACGUUUGCCUGCGUGUUUGAGUUGGGUCUUCCACCACCGCUGCGUGAACCUUGCGCCCAGACCACGCUGUCGAAAGGCAGCGCGCAUAGACGCACAUCGGGACGAAAGCGGGAGCGCACACCGCCUCGCCGCUCUGCUGCGCAUUGUGCGAGUGCGCGUCGAUCUCUGGCUUUCGCCUGCACACUUCCUUGUCGGCAUCUCUCUGCCUUUGCACCAGCCCUCGCAUGAUGAUGCCCAUGACAGGCUCUCGGAACUCCCCCGUGCGCCCGUCGGGCGUCGUGAGGCACGCUCAUGAGACGGAUAAACCUGUGAUAGAGAACUGUGCGCAGUCGAACCCCCUUCUCGACGCUCCGCCCGAUCCCCCGCACAAGGCAGGCAAGCGAUCUGUGGUGUCGUGCGCACCAUCAGGCACCUCAAGUGCUGCACGUGCGUCUGAUGUCGCCGCUCUUCUGCGACACGCGGUCGUCCGUGACUUGAUUCGCGAGAAUGAAGGCAUGCUGAUGGAGAUCGCGGGGCUGCAGGAGACGAAGAGACUCUGGUGUGCGACUCAGCUGCGCCUCGUCACACUGGAAGAGAGUGCCGCUCGUGCAGCGCUGAAGGCGGCGGAGUCGAUCGCGCGUGGGGUGUGGGCUACCCGCGCCCACGCCUCGCUGGCAGCGCACGUGCAGCGAUUAGAGCAGCAGCUGAGCGAUGAAGCGGAGGAGGCAGCGGAGCUGCGGGGAUUCGCCGAGCUAGCACAGGCGCAGCUGGCUACCAGCCCACGGCCCCAGACAGAGGGCGCCACACCCGAGAAAGAAAAGUACGCGUCUCCACCUGCCAAGGGACGGCGAGGCAGCGGCAUGGGUGACGUGGACGGUAACAGUCAGCGCGCCAGCCUCGAAGAGAUCACAAAUGUUCGCGGGUCAGUGAAGCGGCUGCGCAGCGUAGAGAGCAGCGACAGCAGUGGAACUCCACGCGGCCAAGCACGGCGCACCAGCAGCAGCCAGAAGAGCCCCGGUGCCCUCACAAAGGUGUGCAAGACAAUUUACUGAGGAGUGGGUAUGGCAGGCCGAAGGGCAAGGAGGGGAGGGAGCGGCGCCACAGCGGUCUCGCAUCACCCGCGCUGCCUCACGCACUCGCUACAGCCGCUAUGCGCAUUUCGCUCAGUCCGCAUCCGCGCAAAAAGCGAACGACACAUGUGCGUUCUCGUGGGUUGGCUGAUGGCGAGAGAAAGGGAUCAGGUGGGAUGCUUCUCUGCCUCUCCCCCACUCUCUCUAUCCCUCGUGCGCGCCUGUGCGUCCUUCAUCGCCGCCAUUCGUGCCGCUGUUGCGCAGCUCUUCGUUCGCUUUUUUUUUGGGGGGGUCCCUGCGCUCUCCAUCUCUCUUCGUGCCUGGAGGGAGCCGCGCGGCAACGUGAGCACGCCAUACACGUGCAAAAUAAUAGAAGGGUGUACCCGUGCAUCAUGUGUGUCUCACGUCUCGAUUCUCUGACGACAGCAGAUGGACGAACGCACGUGCGAAAGUGUUCAUUGCACACUCCCGCAAUGCUGUGUGCAACGGGCGCGGAUCCUCCGCAACAUUCCGCGUGACGCGUGCGAUCUCGCUUCCUUCUCAGCGAGUGCGACGGAGAGAGAGUGGGGAGGGGGCGGGCUGGGCUGGGCUGGGGACUCUCCUCCGUCCUUCCUCCCACAUGUCUCCUCCUGCUCUACUUCUGUAUCCACCGCCCACUCGGUGCUCACCCCUCCCCUCCCAGCCUCAACUCGUCCCCGCUUCUUCCCUCUUGCCCUUCCUUUGCUGUCUUGGGCGUUGUCUCCUUUGGGUUCUGUCUCACCUGCUCGCGCGCAUGCGUGCACUUGCCUGUAUGCCUGCGUAG
rnacentral:misc_RNA from 1 species